rnacentral:rRNA from 1 species
UACGAAGGGGGCUAGCGUUGUUCGGAAUUACUGGGCGUAAAGCGCACGUAGGCGGAUAUUUAAGUCAGGGGUGAAAUCCCGCAGCUCAACUGCGGAACUGCCUUUGAUACUGGGUAUCUUGAGUAUGGAAGAGGUAAGUGGAAUUCCGAGUGUAGAGGUGAAAUUCGUAGAUAUUCGCAAGAACACCAGUGGCGAAGGCGGCUCACUGGCCCGGUACUGACGCUGAGGUGCGAAAGCGUGGGGAGCAAACAGG